CUCUGCCUCCCUCUCCCUCUCCCCCUCUCUCCCUCUCCCUCUCUCUCCCGUCAGUGUUUCUCUGCUCUUUGAGGUCUUUUGGACUAUUGAUUACUUCAGAAGUUUGAAUGUAAAAUAUUUUCUAAAUGAUUCCUGAAGCGUUGGGACCAAACUUUCCACACCUCUGUGUCUGUGAUUCUGAGGAGGCAUUCUACUAAACUAACCAGUAUUGAACAGUUAUACAGUAGUCGGUAACGUGCUAGAAAACUGUCCUGAUUCAAGUAGUAAAAUCAAUCAAUCUAACUAAAGUGAACUAGACACCCAGCCCCCUGUCUGAGACUGAUGUCAGUCUUAGACAGGGGGUCAAAGUCAUGCUUGCUUCCCGGUGUCAGAAGGGCUUGUAUAUGUUUUAGCACACUGUGUAUCCCCUCUGGCCCUAGAGCUAGGAGGGCCAGAAUGAGAAUAUUUACGAGAUCCCGAGGAAUUGAGCAAAAACGGAUCCACUUCUGGCAUAAGAAUGUAUGUGACUUUGUAGCAGGUUGGCAUUUAUUGUCAUUAGUCUUGCUCUGGAGGCAGCACUGCAGAGUGGUCACUAGCUGGCACAGCCACAAGCAGGUUGACGUUUAUUGUCAUGUUUCUUGUCCUGGAGGCAGCACUGAGUGAUUUCCUCUUAGGUAUGCCAGCUGCAAAGUCAGGUUUAAAAUCCAGAACAAGAUUCAUGACGAAAAACACUAACCUGCCAGCCACAAAGUCAUAAAAUCUGAUUUCAAACCUAACCCUAACCUUAACCCUAACCUUAACAACACUGCUAACCCUAAUGCAUAACCCUAACAUUAAAUUAUGACCAAAAAGCUAUUUUUUGUUUUCAUUAAUUUUUACAAUAUUGCCAAUUUUGACUGACCCUUCUAGCGGAAAUCGCUCAGUUCUGCCUCCAGGGCAAGAUUCAUGACAAUAAACGUAAGCCUGUGACAUGGUUCCACUGCCCACUUAUCCAGUGGCCAGUAGAGAGAACAGCUUCUCUCAGACAUAGUGGUUCUGUACAUAACAAGGGCAUGCAAUGACAGAUCCUAAAUUAUGCCAUUUACAUAUCAAAAAGGUAAAAAAAUGAAAAAAUAGAUUUACAAAAAUAAAUGUUUUUAAAAUGAUGAUUAUGUUAUGGCAUAUACAGUACCAAUAUGGAGAAGAAAAAAGUGUUAGAUUGAAUGUGAGAGUGUAUGUUACUAUUCAAAUGUCUAGUAAUUCUAUUACAAAAAAAUCAUUAUACGUUAUAAAUACAAAAAUACAUUAAAAAUAUUAUCGUGCCAAAGGGUGAUGGCUUGGGAGGGAGGGUAGCUUGUUGGGAAAUAAGUGGUUUCGUAAAAGUCAACUGUUUUUAUUGUUUUGGAUAUUUUCUAUAUAAAUAUAUUCCAGAUUUUCAAACGUAAAGCAAUACUACCCAUACCCAUUACAUACACAUACAGGACACAUACAUGACCCAUACAGGACACACAUCUGUACUGGGUGCAAGUCACGCUUUAGAUGUUGUAGUCUGGAAUCUGGAGUCUGACCUCAGUCUGUGUCAUAGCUAUACACACCCCUCUCCCUUCUAAAUAAAACCAUCUAAGAAACCAUUCAUCCCAGAACAGUGCCAUUGACCUAUGACCUUUAAACAAUGUUGAGAUAGAGAUAACUUUGUUGUGGCUAUGGAGUGUAAUUUACCUGUGUUUAUGAUGAGAUAGCACAGUAGUGUGAAGCAGCUUGUUCUGUGUGUGUGUGUGUGUGUGUGUGUGUGUGUGUGUGUGUGUGUGUGUGUGUGUGUGUGUGUGUGUGUGUGUGUGUGUGUGUGUGUGUGUGUGUGUGUGUGUGUGUGUGUGGUUAAGCCAGUGUAUAUCUAUGUGAUGACGGUAUGUAGCAGCAGGUUGACUCAGCACUUUGACUCCAUGUUGCCCCCCUGGGCUGCUCUGAGGUACUCUACCCUGCUGCCUUGGCAGAAACACAGGAUCCACAGUAACUCCUCAUAUUCCAUUCUAUUGUUUCUAGGGCUGAUUCCUAUAAACAAUACUACGAUCAACCCUAGAAAUGCUAAACUGAUCUGAGGAAAACUGACCUGAGCUCAUAUUUGUGAAAGUAAAAAGGCACACACAUCAGCUAGGGCUGGAGGUUUCCACGGUGAGACAGACAGAACACAGGUCCUCCUCCUACAGGGCUGGAGGUUUCCACGGUGAGACAGACAGAACACAGGUCCUCCUCCUACAGGGCUGGAGGUUUCCACGGUGAGACAGACAGAACACAGGUCCUCCUCCUACAGGGCUGGAGGUUUCCACGGUGAGACAGACAGAACACAGGUCCUCCUCCUACAGGGCUGGAGGUUUCCACGGUGAGACAGACAGAACACAGGUCCUCCUCCUACAGGGCUGGAGGUUUCCACGGUGAGACAGACAGAACACAGGUCCUCGUCCUACAGGGCUGUGUCCUAACUUGUGAUACUUGUGUCUUAUUUGGACUUUUGCUCAAAUCAUCCGAUGAUUGGGAGCUUUGCAUGACAUAUCGAGACUCUGGGAAGUGAGUAUUCAGUCUGCUCUAGCUAAACACUGUUUAGAUUAGUUUACCCAAACCAUGUUUACUGUAAAACAUAGAGAAACUGGAGGUUCAUUCAAAUACAUGAGUUACAGAGAGCUGUUCUAGAUGCUGGAUAUCUGAGAUAUUGUCAACCCUAUUUUUCUAUGUAUGUCGAAGCUGCUGAAUUGAAUGUUGAUUUUGCAUUAAUUUUUUUCAGUACAGUGUCCAUGUUUUGACAUGUAUAUGAUGUGGCUAUGUGCUCAAGUUCACUCCAUGGGCUGAAACUUGUGAACUAAAUUGUAUUUGAGCAUGUUUUUUUUCUCUGUACGAUAGCCUAUUUAGAGAACAAUCUUAUCAGAGUCAACAUCAUUGUGCAAUUUAAGCUACUUUUGGGACAAAAUACUUGUUUAAGGUUUAUGACAUGGUACACUGUACUAUUUAUUCUUUAAAUGAAUACAAAUCGAAGAAUUUGAGAAACAAUUUAAAUUCCUAAAUUAUUAUAUGUCUUUCUGCUCCCAUAAUCAAGACGAAGACGAUGAUUCUAAUGAGAUUCUAUGUAUGGGGAAAAUACAGUCCUUUCAUUGAUGAGAUUCUAUUUUCAUUAGAUGUCAAUAAGAUGAUGAAUGUUGCCUAGAAUUACAGUGAUGUUUACAUUCGUACUGCUCACUUGAGAUUAUCCAGUUUAUGUUGUUGAAUUACGUUGUGAUGAUUAUUUAACAACCUUAUCAGCAUAUGUUUGUGCUAGCUUUGUGAUUUCAUGAUAAAUGGUGAUGAACUAUGUAGAAUUCCAAUAGAUAAAGACAAGGCAGCUCAAUAAUUCAUGUGUGUAUAUGGAAUGCAUGCGAGUGAAUUGCUAUCUGCAGUAUUCCUAAUUUGACAGCGCAUUUUUUAAAUGCAGCACUAUGGUCUGUGCAUUUCUACCCUGUCAAGAUGUCACCCAUAGUCGUUCACUGACAGAGAGCUAAGAUGAGAGGAGAGAUGCACACUGACACUGUCCACACUCCACAGACCGUUCUCAUGGUUUCAUUCAUACCAACCAGAGCCAUGUAUUUAGAGAGGUUUCUGCAUUAUGACGCAUUUACAUGACACUUCACCAUUCUAUGGCAGCCAUGUUAGCUCCCCAUUAACAUUACAUGGGGAAUAUUUAAAUGUUGCUAUGUAACUGUAUGUCUAGAAUUAGAACAAUAUUCAAAAUUCUAAAAGUUGGCCCAACUUUCUAAAUCUAUGGCUCUGAUACCAACCUCCUUCACUCAGUGCCAACUCUAUAGAACUCUAUAGAACUCUAUAGCCAACUCUAUAGAACCUCUACAGACCAUGUCUACUGCUGAGACAGAAUCUGAUAACCAACCGUGUCUGUUGCUCUCCUAGCUUAGUGGGCUUUGGGUUCGGUUUCAGGUUUAGCUGCUUUCUCUGGCGUGAAGAAGCGUAGAAUGUAACAUGAUGCUAUCGAUGUGAUAUUGGAAAUGGUUUCUGUUGAUAUUUGAUGAAAUAUUUAGUAGUUUCAUUCAGCUUUGUAAAACGUGAGAAUAUAUGGUAACAGCUGUUUAGAAACAUGUUUACUUUUGGAGGAGUAGGAGUGUGGAGUCUAGCCUACAGAGCAGUGUUUCCCAAACGGUGCGUCGGGGCCCUCUGGUGGGUCGCAGCCAGUUACUCUUGGUCCCAGCUGGGCAUAGGUGGGUCACAAAGGUUUGGGAUCCACUGGCCUGUGGUAUGUAAGGUAGGAAACGUGGUGAGUUUUUGCUUUCAUUUUCUUGCCAUUUCUGAAUCAUUGUGUAAACGUACUGCAGAAUACCUUUUGAAUCAUUAUUAAAAACCUGGAAUGUA